AGGACGAACGCUGGCGGCGUGCUUAACACAUGCAAGUCGAACGGGGAUAUGCGAGCGGAAGGCUUCGGCCGGAAGGUUGCAUAUUCGAGUGGCGGACGGGUGAGUAACGCGUGAACAAUCUGUCCCAGACAGGGGGAUAACACUUGGAAACAGGUGCUAAUACCGCAUAAGACCACGGAGUCGCAUGGCACUGGGGUAAAAGGAGCAAUCCGGUUUGGGGUGAGUUCGCGUCCGAUUAGCCAGUUGGUGAGGUAACGGCCCACCAAAGCGACGAUCGGUAGCCGACCUGAGAGGGUGAUCGGCCACAUUGGAACUGAGAGACGGUCCAAACUCCUACGGGAGGCAGCAGUGGGGAAUAUUGGGCAAUGGGCCGAAAGCCUGACCCAGCAACGCCGCGUGAGUGAAGAAGGCCUUCGGGUUGUAAAGCUCUGUUAUAGGGGACGAAGGAAGUGACGGUACCCUAUAAGGAAGCCCCGGCUAACUACGUGCCAGCCGCGGC
rnacentral:rRNA from 1 species